rnacentral:lncRNA from 10 species
ACAAAAGUGAAACUCUGUCUCAAAAAAAAAAAAAAAAGUGACCCAACCUUCCUGGCAGCUUGCAAGCAAGGGUUUAUAAAGGCAGGGGUAAAUUUAAGGAGAGAAAUUUACCCUCAUACAGGCAAAAUUGUAAACCAAGACAUGGAGGUUACACAUCGGUUUGGCCUAACACGGCAGUCUAUCUUGAAGCAGGGACUUCCAGGUCAGAGGUGGAGUCAAAGAUUCUCUGAUUGGUUAAGGCAUUGAAGCUCUGUCUAAUCGCUUAGGGUCAGCAGAAAGAAAGGGAUGUUAAGAUCUGGCCUGUGGGCGUGCCAGGAGCCCCCAGGCAGAAAUUUAGAACAAAGCACUGCAGCAGUCAGAGCUCAGUCCUCACUCCCUUCUUAUCUGAGGUCUGCCUGCCAGGGGCCCAUUUGCUGGGGGUCCUGGUUUCUGAAAAGCAAUCAGGGGCAUAGGCUAAGAUGGCAUCUUUAGCUUCCAGAGAAAACCAAACCUCUUGUGUCUCUGACUUCCUUGGCCACUGUUCAAAGCUACAAUUACCUUCUCACUUAUCGGGCUGCUCAUUUACUCCUCAGGGCUAGUGAGGUGCUGGCCUUUCCCUUGAAGGAACUCAAGAUUUGUCUUUAUUUCCAUGCUGGGAGGGUGGUGGGUAGCAGGAUCCUAAGAGGGGUCCCUGCUGCAUCUCAAAGACAACUUUAGAAAGAAGCACAAUGAGCCUGGUUUUUAAAUCUCCUGCCCUGCAAUCUCCAGCUGAGGCCACGCCCUCAACCUCCCCGACAGGGUCUCCUAAGGCUCAGGCGGGCUGGGAGUUCUGCCCUUGCACUCUGAGGGGAAGCUGGGGGACAGUGGAGGGCUCUGGCCUUGGAGAAAUAGUGACUUCAUGGGCGGGGACUCUUCCCCAGGAAGGCUGUGGGCAUCCACCCUCAGCUCUCUCCACCCCCUCUAGGGGAACCUACCGUCAAGGUCCAGCUGCCAAGCUGGCUGUGGCCUGUGUGCCUUGCCCUGCUGGUCACCACUGCCCCGAGAGGGGCACCAUCAUGCCACAGCUGUGCAGCAUUGGCAGCUUCUCUGGUCCAGGUCGUCUCUGGUGCCAGGAGUGCUCAGGAGGAAAACUCUGCAACCAGACAAAGCUACCUGGCCCUAUGACGUGUCCCCCUGGGCACUACUGUCCAGCCCAGGGCCUGCUGUCCGUCCCCUGCCCCAUGGGCACUUUCCGAAAGGCCCCCGGGGCUGCCCGCGUGGAAGACUGCCAGCCAUGCCACCCGGGGACAUUCUGUGGCAAAGCUGGCCUGGCCGAGCCCCAGGGCCUGUGCCACCCUGGGCAUCACUGUGGGCCUGGCUCCAACACCUCAUCCCCGGUGAGUGCAGGCCCCAUCAGGCCUUCCCAGGGCCGGGGUCAGGGACACCACAGGGCAAAGGCCCAGCACCUGCCCCCUGGGGCUUACUGCCCCGAGAAGAUAGAAUGACAUGACUGCACAGCAGGUAGAACUGCAGCCAUUAUACACGGCCCGUGACAACAUGUAACCAGUGAGGAAGGGCCCAAGAGGCUAGCAUCCGGCACCCACUGGAAAAGGCGCCAAAUACAAAUAUGUCUUCAGCCAGGAAAAGGCUCAGUGGGUUGACAUUAAGGGCACAUGAAGCAAUGCCGCUUCACUACCCGACGCACCUACCAACCGCUGAUAGUAAAGCAAGUGCUGAAGGCCCCACGAUGAUUCCUUGUGGGAGAGUCCGUGCUCUCCGCUGCAGCCUGGGCCUGGAGCCGCUGCAGUCUUGCGAUACCUAACGAGAGCCUAGGGCAGCUCGCAAACUUUGAUCCCGUAAUUCCAAUGUGGGAAAGAAUCUGAAAGGGGAAAAAAGUCAUUUGUGAAAAAACAUUGAAAGCAACAACAAACCAACACAAAGGCCCAAUAAUAAGAAAAUAUGUAGAUAGACAUAUGGCUUAUCAACCUAGAGGGAUACUAGGUAAGCAUUAAUAAUGAC